rnacentral:rRNA from 1 species
AGCAGCCGCGGUAAUUCCAGCUCCAAUAGCGUAUAUUAAAGUUGUUGCAGUUAAAAAGCUCGUAGUUGAAUUUCGGGACUAAUAUGUCGGUCGUACUUUGUACGUACUAGCAUUAUUGGUUUCUCCCUUCUGACGAACCACGAUGUCAUUAAUUUGGUGUCUUGGGAAAUCAGGACUGUUACUUUGAAAAAAUUAGAGUGUUUAAAGCAAGCUCGCGCUUGAAUACAUUAGCAUGGAAUAAUGAAAUAGGACGUUUGAUUCUAUUUUGUUGGUUUCUAGGAUCGACGUAAUGAUUAAUAGGGAUAGUUGGGGGCAUUAGUAUUCAAUUGUCAGAGGUGAAAUUCUUGGAUUUAUUGAAGACUAACUACUGCGAAAGCAUUUGCCAAGGAUGUUUUCAUUAAUCAAGAACGAAAGUUAGGGGAUCGAAGACGAUCAGAUACCGUCGUAGUCUUAACCAUAAACUAAUGCCGACUAGGGAUCGGAUGAUGUUAAUUUUUAAUGACUCAUUCGGCGCCUUAAC